UUUUUUAAAUGCUCUGAUAAUGAAGGCAUGAUAGCAGGAAUAUAAUACCCUUAACCUGGCAAUUCAUUGCCCAAAAAACAAUUUUCCCAGAUGAUAUAUUGCCAAGAUUCAUGCUGCUGGAUGUGCAUAAAGAAGACAACACGUAUUGUUCUGCAACCACAAUCUAGUAUUACUAAACAAUAAAAAGACAGAUGUACCAACAGCCUUUGGAUUGACUAUAAUUAUUUAAAUUAUUUAAAAUAUCCUUAAAUAACUUCUCCCUAAACUUAUUUUCGUUUGAGUUUUUGAGACUGCAAUCCUUCCUCAAACUCUUAGCCUUCCAGGUCCUGGGCGAAAAUCAGACAGGUUAAAAACGUGGAAAAGCAAAUGAAUUGUAGCUGUGGAUACAAAAAUUAAAAAUACCUUUAAUGAUUGAUAACAUGGUACAUCAAAGAUCCAAACCAAAUGAAGGAGAUCAAAGCUUUGAUGAUUCUCUUAAAGAAAUAUUUACACAUAUGAAAAAGAUGUAUUUGUAAGGAUGUAUAUUGUGACAUUGUUUGUAUAAUAAUAAAUUAUAAAUAAAGCUAAAUAUGUACUGAUAAGAGGUUAAUGAAUUAUGGUAAUUCAUAGUCACAAAUAAUAUUUAGCCACUAUAAAGAGUAAGAUAAAUCAAAACACAUUGACAUGAAAAUAUUUCCUAAGAGAGUAGGAGUAAAAAGGCAAAUAACAGAACAAUAUAUAUAUAACAUGAUAAUUUAUUAAAAUCAAAACAAUUACAUGUUUACAUAUAUACAUAUACAUGUGUACAUGUAUAUGUAUACACAUAUAUAGAUGUGUAAAGGUAAGAAAAACACUUUGGAAGGCUAUUGAUGUCUAUAGUUUUCCCUGUGGUAGAUAGCUGUAGUAUGAGUGAGCAGUAUGAAUGGGCACAGUAUCAGCUUUCUAACAGGAAAUUAAUUACAUAGCCUUAAAUCAGAAUAAUUUAAGGAGUGUUUAAUAAUUUACACAGCUGUGGGCUGGCUGUAUGGAAAGAGAUGGAGCAAUGCCAUGGGGUUAGAAACUGCUGAAGCUAUCCACAGAUCUGACAAAUAAGAGCAGAGAGUAGUUUCUGGAACCCAGUAGAAGAGAGUGGUGGGAAAAUGGCUGUUUUGAGACAACCUUUGGUCAAGACAUGCAGUCUCUGAUGACUGCUCAGGGAAGAAGUCAGACCAAUAAAAGAGAAUCUUACCCACUUGCCAUAAGAAUCUAAAUAGUUCAUGUUCAGAGGAGUGUGCUAGACACAUUUGGUUACCCACCUAGAAUCAAUUGCCUCUUCAUUGUUCUUAAAGGACCCUGUUUUUGUUUAGGCAUUCUCCAUUCUCCCAUGUAGCUGAACAAUGCCUCCAGGGCAGCUGCCUAUCCUGGUGCUGAUGAGAAUGGUCUAAGGGUUAUCCAACUGCCCUUUUCAGUGACACGGAAUAGUCAGGUGGUCCAAUCCAGCCAACAAGGCAAGAGGGAAAGCCCAUUGGAGAGCCUCUGAGAAAGUCUUUCUCAUUACAGAACCACAGAGUCAGACAGUCUGUUCUUCUCUGAGGGUGUCACAUCUGGAUAGAGUGGCUGAAGCUGCCGUACCCAGCUUGCUACAAGCACAGGGGAUGGCAGAGCUCAGAGAUGGGAUGACCCUGUGUUCUUGACGGAAUCAACCAGUCAUGCGGAUCCUGCUAUUUCUGGACUGGCUGUUAGGUGAGAUAAUGAAUUAUUUCCACAAUGCAUGCUUCGUGGAGCACAGGGAGACUCUUACUUGAGGACCUCGUUAUUUCUCACUGGGGCCAUGCUGGCGGCGUUCAAGUCAGGCUGCUCUCAGGCUUCUGCAGAAGUACCUAACACCUCACGGCCACUCUUCUGACCCUAUCCUUAACAAGUAGGCCUACUUUAUAGGUACUGACCACAUAUUUUCUAUA
rnacentral:lncRNA from 1 species